CAGAAAAGUAGAGGUGCGCUGUUUAUCAGUAACUGUCAGGAGGGUGAUGCCAGAGAUUGACAGCGAAAGGAGCCAGCGCCGAAGUCAGAAACGCUAUCGAAGCCUUCUGGCUGGUGCAAUUCUCGAACAGGGCUUGCACUGCCAUAGUCAUAAGUUUGUUUAUUACACUAUGGAGCGCUACUGGUUGG
rfam:Plesiomonas shigelloides 302-73 genomic scaffold scaffold00012, whole genome shotgun sequence.